UGUGUCCUUUUGUGUAGUGCUGGGCUCACCAGAAGAUAGAAGUUGUACAUCGCCUCUGAGCCUCUAUUCUCGCCGUGUUUAAUGUCGAUGGUUCUGGUCAUACCGCCCCACGCACCCAACACAAUUACUCUCUCAUAUUCUCUCUUUUCCUCCCGGAUCUCCGUCCAGAUCUGCGCUCCCGCCACCCUAUAUCCGUUGCCAUGUGUGCAUCAUCUUCCUCUUCCUCUAAUCAGUUGUCCCUACUGCAAGAGGGGAGAUGUGGAAUGGUGGGUGUCCCACACCAAGCUGAACCCCAGGAGGCACUUCUACAAGUGUGGGCGUCACUGGGUGAGUUCCUCUUUUUUCCCGUCUUAAGUGCAUAGAUUCAUAGAUUUGUUCUGUUCUAAUCAUUUUCUUCAUGUUCCUCGUUUCCCCUUAAUCUCAAAUCUAGAAAGGCAAAGGUUCUUUCAGAAGUGGGAAGAUGUCUAAAUCGAUGUUCUCAUAGCCAAGUGGCCCAAGCUGUUCAUACCUAUUGCCCAGCCUAAGAACAGUGGCAUCACUAUGAUCUUGAUCCUCAUCGUCGGUAUCCUCAACCUCUUUGUUGUUCUUCACCUUAGUCCGAAGAAGAACGGAAGCUGAAGCUGCUCCAAUGCUGAAUCUAAACCAGUGUUUAGGAUCUAGCCAACUAAUGAUUAUGCACUGCCUGUUUCUGAAGUUUAGUUUGCCCAUAAUUGUCCCUUACAAUAUGUGUGUCUGCCAGUGCAGUUAAAUUUGUUUUCUAGUUAACCAUUUAUUCAGGGGAGAAUCAUAUGUUGAUCGCCUCCUGUAGUUUAUCAUGAGGUUAGCCUUACAGGUGGCACCAAAGUAUUGUAUGUGUUGUAAGCUUGUCCCCUAAUAUAUAUUUAUGUGAUAACUAUGAUUUGUGUUCUUUUUUGUAACUGCUUAAU
rnacentral:lncRNA from 1 species